ACAUGUACUCUUGUGUAUACUGUAGUAUAAGUCAAUUAUUGAGUGUACAUGUACAAAUGAAUCGUUAGUGUCACAGUUCAAGAUUGUAAUAUAAUUAUUUCUUCCUUGUUUACAGCAACAGCACCUUCAUACGCCAGAAGUGGACUCUCCAUUACAUGUAACAAGUUCAAUGGAAAGGCCCACCACCAUUGAGCAUCCUGUGUCUCCGCCCCCUGCCCCUCCCCCUACAUCUCGACCUCACACUGCAUCGGAUUUUAGAUCAAGGCGCUAUGUAAGAAACAGUACAGUUGGUUCUUUGCCUCGUAGCCGGACUAUGGCUCCACAUUCUCUCACUCAAGGAAUGGAAGGAAAAA